ACAUGCCUACAACAUAGCAUUAAUAAAUCGGAUCCCAUUAGAACUUCGUAGUUAAGCGUGCUCAGGCUAGAGUAGUACCAGGAUGGGUGACCUCCCAAGAAGUCCUAGUAUUUUACAUGCC
rnacentral:rRNA from 1 species